UACAGAGGGGGCAAGCGUUGUUCGGAAUUACUGGGCGUAAAGGGCGCGUAGGCGGCCUGCUAAGUCGAACGUGAAAUCCCCGGGCUCAACCCGGGAACUGCGUCCGAUACUGACAGGCUUGAAUCCGGGAGAGGGAUGUGGAAUUCCAGGUGUAGCGGUGAAAAUGCGUAGAUAUCUGGAGGAACACCGGUGGCGAAGGCGGCAUCCUGGACCGGUAUUGACGCUGAUGCGCGAAAGCCAGGG
rnacentral:rRNA from 1 species